rnacentral:lncRNA from 1 species
UAAACUUCGCGUUCCCCCUUGUAGUUUCACACUUUCUCACUUUAGUACUCUAUAAUUUAAAGUGUAUCAAAUUAGUCCAUUUAAUUUCGCACUUUCUCAUUUUAGUACCCUGUGGUUUAAAGUGUAUCAAAUUAGUAUUCUGUAGUUUUAUUUUUAUUUUUUUAUUAUUCAUUUCAUUAUUUUUUUUCGUUAAAUCAGUGAUAAAAUUAAAACUAAAGGGUACUAAAAUGAAUAUUCGAAAAACCUAGAUAGGGUAUCUCAAGUUUUUUGUAUAUAAUUUAACGAAAUAUUAAUGAAGGAAAAAAAAAUUAGUGACAAAGUUAAAACUAAAGGAUAUACUAAAAUAAAUAUGCAAUAAAUCUAGGUAGAAUAUCUGAAGUUUUUGCAUAUAAUUUAACGAGAUAUUAAUAGAAGAGCCGAUGAAAAGAAAAAAAAUAAAAUCACAGAGUACUAAAUUAAUGCACUUUAACGACAAGAUACUAAAAUAAAAACGUGCGAAACUAUAGAGUGNUAAAUUAAUACAGUUUAAAUUAUUA